UUCCAGCUCCAAUAGCGUAUAUUAAAGUUGUUGCAGUUAAAAAGCUCGUAGUUGGAUUUCUGGCCGGAGCGAUCGGUCCGCCUCAUUUGGGGUGUGUACUUGUGUCGUCUGUGGCCAUCCUUGGGGAGAACUGUUCUGGCAUUGAGUUGUCGGGGCAGGGAACCCCAUCGUUUACUGUGAAAAAAUUAGAGUGUUUAAAGCAGGCUUACGCCGUUGAAUACAUUAGCAUGGAAUAAUAAGAUAGGGCAUUGGUGGUCUAUUUUGUUGGUUUGCACACUUAUGCAAUGAUUAAUAGGGAUAGUUGGGGGUAUUCGUAUUUAAUUGUCAGAGGUGAAAUUCUUGGAUUUCUGAAAGACGAACUACUGCGAAAGCAUUUACCAAGGAUGUUUUCAUUAAUCAAGAACGAAAGUUAGGGGAUCGAAGAUG
rnacentral:rRNA from 1 species